ACAAAGUCGACCAGUGGAUUUUCAGCUUGGCUUUCUGUCAUCUGGAUGCUUGUCAUCUGGAUAAUAUUUACCUCAAGGAUUCCCUCUGGAAGACGAAACAGAUGUCAACGCUAUGCAGUAAUGCAUUUAUCUGUGUGGGAUCAUUCUGAAAGAAAACACAUGUGGAAAAAAAAGAAAGAAAGAAAGUGAAGUGCACAUGAGUGGCUCCAAACAACAAAGAGCUCCAAAGCUUCUGAACAACAAGACCCUGAAUGUGAAAUAUUAUCUUUAACAUGGAUUUCUAGUUAAAUUCAGUUUACUGAUCUUCCAAGUCAAUGACAGUGGCAAACGGUUACCCAGAGAGGUAUGGGAACAAGUAAGGAAUCACAGACAUCAGUGGAAAAUUGCAAUUCCUUCAGUAAAUCCUUCUUCAUCACAUCAAGCAGAGGUGUCACAACUGAGACAGGUUGUUGAUUCUUGAAGUGAAAUGUGACCUUCAAAGACCGUGCUUUAGCAUGGAUGGCCUGAUCCAAAGCCUGAUGGAGAGAAAGGAGGUUUGAGUGCUGCUUCUCAAUGGGGUUUUUGAGAACCCUUGGGGGAAAAACUGCUGACAACAAAUGCCUAGUAAUUAAAACCAAAAAUUUAUCAGCCUAAAAAUAAUAAAUUUGGCUAAGACAGAGAUUUUUUGCCAUGUUAUUUGAUACAUGAAAAUGUUACAUAAAUAUUGAGUGACACUCUCAAUAAGAGCCAGCUGGUGAAAAUUACUGAACACGUUGUAAAUAGGCUUUGGGGGCA